GAAAAAACAAAACAGUGUGACCACAAACACACAAAAGUCCUUGAUCACAUGAACUGUUUCAUUCAUCCCUGUCUCCAUGCGUAUGUUCUAUGAGACUGUCGAAGAAUAGAGUAUCCAGUUUCCAGGACUAAUGUUUGUGAAAAUUCCAGGCACACAGAUCAGCCAGAGGCUACAGAAAUCGAGUCGGUCUGUGCCAUGAUUCAUAG